CCAGACUACUACGGGAGGCAGCAGUAGGGAAUCUUCGGCAAUGGACGAAAGUCUGACCGAGCAACGCCGCGGGAGUGAAGAAGGUUUUCGGAUCGUAAAACUCUGUUGGUAGAGAAGAACGUUGGUGAGAGUGGAAAGCUCAUCAAGUGACGGUAACUACCCAGAAAGGGACGGCUAACUACGUGCCAGCAGCCGCGGUAAUACGUAGGUCCCGAGCGUUGUCCGGAUUUAUUGGGCGUAAAGCGAGCGCAGGUGGUUUAUUAAGUCUGGUGUAAAAGGCAGUGGCUCAACCAUUGUAUGCAUUGGAAACUGGUAGACUUGGGUGCAGGAGAGAAGAGUGGAAUUCCAUGUGUAGCGGUGAAAUGCGUAGAUAUAUGGAGGAACACCGGUGGCGAAAGCGGCUCUCUGGCCUGUAACUGACACUGAGGCUCGAAAGCGUGGGGAGCAAACAGGAU
rnacentral:rRNA from 1 species